UACGGGGGGGGUAAGCGUUGUUCGGAAUUACUGGGCGUAAAGGGCUCGUAGGCGGCCAACUAAGUCAGACGUGAAAUCCCUCAGCUUAACUGGGGAACUGCGUCUGAUACUGGAUGGCUUGGAUUCGGGAGAGGAAUGCGGAAUUCCAGGUGUAGCGGUGAAAUGCGUAGAUAUCUGGAGGAACACCGGUGGCGAAGGCGGCUUUCUGGGCCUUACCUGACGCUGAGACGCGAAAGCGUGGGGAGCGAACCGG
rnacentral:rRNA from 1 species